UACGUAGGGUGCAAGCGUUAAUCGGAAUUACUGGGCAUAAAGCGUGCGCAGGCGGCUUUGCAAGACAGAUGUGAAAUCCCCGGGCUCAACCUGGGAACUGCAUUUGUGACUGCAUGGCUGGAGUGCGGCAGAGGGGGAUGGAAUUCCGCGUGUAGCAGUGAAAUGCGUAGAUAUGCGGAGGAACACCGAUGGCGAAGGCAAUCCCCUGGGCCUGCACUGACGCUCAUGCACGAAAGCGUGGGGAGCAAACAGG
rnacentral:rRNA from 1 species